AUUGAACGCUGGCGGCAGGCUUAACACAUGCAAGUCGAGCGGAGAUGAGGUGCUUGCACCUUAUCUUAGCGGCGGACGGGUGAGUAAUGCUUAGGAAUCUGCCUAUUAGUGGGGGACAACAUUCCGAAAGGAAUGCUAAUACCGCAUACGUCCUACGAGAGAAAGCGGGGGAUCUUCGGACCUUGCGCUAAUAGAUGAGCCUAAGUCGGAUUAGCUAGUUGGUGGGGUAAAGGCCUACCAAGGCGACGAUCUGUAGCGGGUCUGAGAGGAUGAUCCGCCACACUGGGACUGAGACACGGCCCAGACUCCUACGGGAGGCAGCAGUGGGGAAUAUUGGACAAUGGGGGGAACCCUGAUCCAGCCAUGCCGCGUGUGUGAAGAAGGCCUUAUGGUUGUAAAGCACUUUAAGCGAGGAGGAGGCUACUGAGACUAAUACUCUUGGAUAGUGGACGUUACUCGCAGAAUAAGCACCGGCUAACUCUGUGCCAGCCGCCGCGGUAAGAC
rnacentral:rRNA from 1 species